rnacentral:piRNA from 1 species
UAUAAAUCUUGUGCAUUUUCUUCUUGA